rnacentral:rRNA from 1 species
UUUUCCUACGGGGCGCAGCAGUAGGGAAUUUUCCUCAAUGGGCGCAAGCCUGAACAAGCAAUGCCGCGUGAACGAGGAAGGUCUUCGGAUCGUAAAGUUCUGUUGAAGGGGAAAAAGAGCGGAGAGAGGAAAUGGUCUCCGAUUGAUAUUACCCUUCGAGGAAGUCACGGCUAACUACGUGCCAGCAGCCGCGGUAAUACAUAGGGGGCAAGCGUUAUCCGGAAUUAUUGGGUGUAAAGCGUGCGUAGACGGAAGAACAAGUUGUUUGUGAAA